UACGAAGGGGGCUAGCGUUGCUCGGAAUCACUGGGCGUAAAGCGCACGUAGGCGGAUUUCUAAGUCGGGGGUGAAAUCCUGGAGCUCAACUCCAGAACUGCCUUCGAUACUGGAAGUCUUGAGUCCGGGAGAGGUGAGUGGAACUGCGAGUGUAGAGGUGAAAUUCGUAGAUAUUCGCAAGAACACCAGUGGCGAAGGCGGCUCACUGGCCCGAUACUGACGCUGAGGCACGAAAGCGUGGGGAGCAAACAGG
rnacentral:rRNA from 1 species